AAAGAAUUAGUUAAAAUUAUAACAUUAGAAUGUCAAACUAAAAUUAUUAAAUUUAUGUAAUAUUCUUUA
rnacentral:tRNA from 1 species